rnacentral:rRNA from 1 species
CGGGGUGCAGCAGGCGCGAAAACUUUACAAUGCUGGCAACAGCGAUAAGGGGACCUCGAGUGCCAGGAUACAAUCUUGGCUGUCGCGAUGCCUAAAAAGCAUUGCAUAGCAAGGGCCGGGCAAGACCGGUGCCAGCCGCCGCGGUAACACCGGCGGCUCGAGUGGUAACCGCUAUUAUUGGGUCUAAAGGGUCUGUAGCCGGCCGGAUAAGUCUUUUGGGAAAUCCAGCUGCUCAACAGUUGGGCUUUCAGAAGAUACUGUUCGGCUCGAGACCGGGAGAGGUGAGAGGUACUUCAGGGGUAGGGGUGAAAUCUUGUAAUCCUUGAAGGACCACCAGUGGCGAAGGCGUCUCACCAGAACGGAUCUGACGGCAAGGGACGAAAGCUAGGGGCACGAACCGGAUUAGAUACCCGGGUAGUCCUAGCCGUAAACGAUACUCGCUGGGUGUCAGCCACGGUGCGACCGUGGUUGGUGCCGUAGGGAAGCCGUGAAGCGAGCCACCUGGGAAGUACGGCCGCAAGGCUGAAACUUAAAGGAAUU